UUUACCGGAAUUACAUUUAACAAAAAUUUAAACUCAUCUAAAAUAAGUGUGGAAAAUGCGAAUAAAAUUUAUUUGUGAAUUUUUCAUUGAAACUAAAACUAUAACCGCAGUUGUCAGUGUGAUUGCAUAAUCAUUUGCUACGUUAUGCCAAUAAAGUUUUAUUUAAAAUAAUGCUUUGGGUGAAAUUUGCUAAUUUAAACGAAUUUCGUUGAAUUUUAGUUGUGACACAGAGUGAAAAAGUGGAAAAACAAAACAAAAUUAUUGACACAAAAAUGCUUUUAUUUUCUGACAUUCAUACUUGUAUGGUUGCCACAUACAGAAAUUGCGUGAAGUGCUUGAUGCUGAUUUAUCAGUCAAUAAAGUGGAAUAAGAGCAAUUCCUUUUCAUAGUGAAUAAUAUAUAAGAAGAAACAAAGCAAAAUUCGCCUUGUCGCUUUAAUGUCUGACUUCCUGCGCUUCCCUUGAGCGCUUGACUUUUAUCCACAAGCUUUAACACAACGCCAACGCCGACUUAUAAGGAAGCGUAAAUAAUAAUUACCAUGCUCACAGACGUAUUGAUGUGUCAACAGGAACAACAACAACAAAAGCAACAAUAAUCACAAAAGCGCUAAUAUUUACAAGGCACACAUCAAAAUGACUUAAUUAUCCUGCGAGUCAAAGCUUUGUAAACGAAAUCCCUCCAAAUUUAUUGCGUGCUAUAAAGACAAGAAAAGCAAAGAGCGGGAGGCAAGAAGAUGUAAGACCCAAAUAUAGUAAAGCGAAGAAGAAAGUAAAUGGAGGUGGAAAAUAAUGAAACGGAAACGUGUCAAAAUUGCUGUUGAAAAUUACGUAUUUAUGAAAAAUAUUGAUAUGAGUAUUUGGAAGAAUGUAAAUGAG